rnacentral:rRNA from 1 species
UAAGGAAUAUUGGUCAAUGGACGCAAGUCUGAACCAGCCAUGCCGCGUGGAGGAUGAAGGUCCUCUGGAUUGUAAACUUCUUUUAUCUGGGACGAAACACUUCUUUUCUAAGAGGCCUGACGGUACCAGAUGAAUAAGCACCGGCUAACUCCGUGCCAGCAGCCGCGGUAAUACGGAGGGUGCAAGCGUUAUCCGGAUUCACUGGGUUUAAAGGGUGCGUAGGUGGGUAUGUAAGUCAGUGGUGAAAUCCCCGAGCUUAACUUGGGAACUGCCAUUGAUACUAUAUAUCUUGAAUACCGUAGAGGUAAGCGGAAUAUGUCAUCUAGCGGUGAAAUGCUUAGAUAUGACAUGGAACACCAAUUGCGAAGGCAGCUUACUAUGCGGUGAUUGACACUGAGGCACGAAAGCGUGGGUAGCAAACA